rnacentral:rRNA from 1 species
AGAGUGAACGCUGGCGGUAGGCCUAACACAUGCAAGUCGAACGGCAGCACGGUAAGAGCUUGCUCUUAUGGGUGGCGAGUGGCGGACGGGUGAGGAAUACAUCGGAAUCUACCUUUUGGUGGGGGAUAACGUAGGGAAACUUACGCUAAUACCGCAUACGCCCUUCGGGGGAAAGCCGGGGACCAGCAAUGGCCUGGUGCUGAUAGAUGAGCCGAUGUCGGAUUAGCUAGUUGGUGAGGUAAUGGCUCACCGAAGGCGACGAUCCGUAGCUGGUCUGAGAGGAUGAUCAGCCACACUGGAACUGACGACACGGUCCAGACCUCCGUACGGGAGCAGCAGGUGGGAAUGUGGACAGUGGGCGCAAGCUAGACUCCGAGCCACUACCGGCGGUAGGGUA